rnacentral:rRNA from 1 species
AUGAACAAGUUCUGCCGCACACUAAACAGAUUGAAGUUGCACGAAAUUCAACUGAUCAGGCGUCGUUUCGCAUGGAGCAACGAGCAAAUCUCACCAACACUCGUCAGUUUGGAUCGCGCUUUCUGCAAUAUAGAGUGGCAAUUGCUCUUCCCUAGGGCAAAGCUGCUACCCCAAUCAUCCUCCAUAUCAUAUCACUGCACUUUGCUCUUGGUAAAUGAUGUAAUCACCAAAACAAACAGGCGUUUCCGCUUCAAGGCAUAUUGGCAGCACAUUCAGGGUUUUCAGGAGGUGGUGGAUCAAUCCUAGAAUCUCCCUACUAGAAAAUCUUGCCCGAUCACUAGAUUCAACGCAAAGCUGCACCGACUCAGCAAAGCUCUUCGAGCAUGGAGCAAAACGCUUGUUGGCGACAUUCUGAAACAGUUUAUGAUGGUGAACGAGAUCAUACUUCAACUAGACUCGGCACAAGAUUACAGACCACUCAAUCUGGAAGAAAAGGAACUGAGGUCAAAGCUAAAAUUGUGAUCCAUGGGGCUUGUUGUUCUGCUAAAAAUAAAGUUGAGGCAACGAAGCAGAAUUCUUUGGCUGAAGGCAGGGGAUGCCAACACUAAAUUUUUCCAAAGGAAAGCCAAUGCUAGACAUAAGUGCAACACAAUCCACAUAUACUUCAGGGACCAUGGACCGGUAUCCGCUUCGGAUGAGAUGGGUGCGCUAGCUCACCACCACUUCUAGCAUAUUUUUGGCAACGAGCAACCAAGAUCUAUGGCACUCAACUGGGAUGAGCUUGAGCUGGAGCACAUGGACCUCUCCGAUCUUGAGGGAGAUUUGUCACUUGAGGAAAUCAAGCGAGCAAUUGAUGAGAUCUCAGCGGACAAGGCACCGGGAUCGGACGGCUUCUUCGGCGGUUUCUUCAAACAUUGUUGGGAAAGCAUCAAACAUGAUCUAUUCGAGGCCCUAAAUCAAUUACACCAUAUAGACAACCGGGGUCUAGCAUGCAUAAACACUGCCAUCUUGGUGCUAAUCCCAAAAAAAUAG